UGUGCUUGUGUAUCCUUGCUUUGUAUAUUUUUUACUGUUCUUUCAAUGUUCAGUUAUUUCAUCUUUAGAAUUUGGAGAAACACCAAAUAUUUAUGUAGCUAAAUUUCAUCCUUUUGCCAUUGCCAAGUAGAUACCAGUGCUAAUGGAAGAACAACCACAAAUAUUUGCAGUUGGUAAACAAAAUGUUCUACUUUCUUUGCAUGAGGCAAAGCAUGCAGCUGCACGCAACUAGCAGCAACAUCUCCUUAAUAUUUUUGUUAUUUCUGUAUAGUUCUCUCCAGACUAUUGAUUUAAUUUCUACUACGCAAAGAGCAAUUCUUUUUUUAGACAUGGCAUAUGCAGUUCGCAUAAUGAUUCUUAUGUGCUUGGCUCAUAUGCAGCAUGAUCAUUCAGUACAGAAAUGUGAAUGUUCUUUAUUAGGCUUUAGUUGCAUUUUUGUGCUCAUUAGCAGUUGUGACUGACAAUGGUGAAUGUGAUAAUUAAUCUUCCCUUGAGUGGUGGGUAAGAGUGGUAUUAUUUUCUUAACCAUUCACCAAUAAAAAAAUAUAUAACGUUGCCCCUGAAACCAAGUUGCUACUAUCCAAGUUUAAUACGGAUGUAUCACCUUGUUUAUGUCUGUUCCUAUUGAUAAACUGCAUGUAAGUUAUUUCAGUAACCUACUUUCUCACAUUAGAAAUAGAUUCAGACAAGCUGUUAAUUUGUAAACUUCUUUACUUUGUUGCAUAUAAAAGGUCCAUCAUUUGUUUUGGAGGGUGGUAAUUUUCUACACCUAAGUCCACAUCAUCUAUUUUUAUCUCAUGCGGAAACACUGCACCUUUUGUGCCCUCUCUCGAACAUAAUUGACUGAAGCUUUGGUAUAGCGUUUUACUUACAGUAUUUCUACUUUCCUUGUUUGCUUACAAGCUGUUUUUUCUUUUUGACUCUGAUGAAUCCCCCAGGCCAUUUUUAAGAACCCGUUCAGGAGGGGUGACAACCUCCUUGUUAUGUGCGACUGCUACACACCACAAGGUGUUCCAAUCCCCACCAACAAGAGGCACAAUGCUGCCAAGAUCUUCAACACCUCGAAGGUUGCAGCUGAGGAGAGAUGGUAUGGAAUUGAGCAGGAGUACACUCUCCUCCAGAAGGAUGUGAACUGGCCCCUUGGCUGGCCCGUUGGUGGCUACCCUGGUCCUCAGGCAAGAAAACUCUCAGCAUGCUCUCCAGCUUUCCGUGUGUUAAACUUACAUAAAAACUGAACAUUGCAUUUCACCAAGUGAAAUGCUACAUUUCUACUCCUAACCCAUUCUCUCUUUCUUAGUGUUUUUGUUAUGCAGGUUGGAAGAAAAGAAGAAGAUCCAGAGAAGAUCUUAGUAAUAAGAUAGUUUUUAGGAAAAUAGAUAUUUAGUUUUAGGUCAUUUCUUGUAAUUUCAGAUAUGGAGUGCUUGUCUAUAGUUUUUGU